rnacentral:rRNA from 1 species
AGAGUUUGAUCAUGGCUCAGAACGAACGCUGGCGGCAGGCCUAACACAUGCAAGUCGAGCGCUGUAGCAAUACAGAGCGGCGCACGGGUGAGUAACACGUGGGAACGUGCCCUUUGGUUCGGAAUAACUCAGGGAAACUUGAGCUAAUACCGGAUGAGCCCUAACGGGGAAAGAUUUAUCGCCGAAGGAACGGCCCGCGUCGGAUUAGCUAGUUGGUGAGGUAAUGGCCCACCAAGGCUACGAUCCGUAGCUGGUUUGAGAGAACGACCAGCCACACUGGGACUGAGACACGGCCCAGACUCCUACGGGAGGCAGCAGUGGGGAAUCUUGGACAAUGGGGGAAACCCUGAUCCAGCCAUGCCGCGUGAGUGAUGAAGGCCCUAGGGUUGUAAAACUCUUUCGGCGGGGACGAUAAUGACGGUACCCGCAGAAGAAGCUCCGGCUAACUUCGUGCCAGCAGCCGCGGUAAUACGAAGGGGGCUAGCGUUGUUCGGAAUUACUGGGCGUAAAGCGCGCGCAGGCGGUCCUUCAAGUCAGAGGUGAAAGCCCAGGGCUCAACCCUGGAAUGGCCUUUGAGACUAGAGGACUUGGGUACGGGAGAGGUGAGUGGAAUUCCGAGUGUAGAGGUGAAAUUCGUAGAUAUUCGGAAGAACACCAGUGGCGAAGGCGGCUCACUGGCCCGUUACCGACGCUCAGGCGCGACAGCGUGGGGAGCAAACAGGAUUAGAUACCCUAGUAGUCC